UUUUAAUGGUCACGUGUUGUUUUAUUUUGCUUCACUGCUUUGUUGGCCAAUCACGUUCAUAUCAGUGUUAUUCUUCACCGUUUUUAUUACCAUAUAGUAGCAUUAACAUACCACCUUCAUCUCGAUCCUUCUUCAACCAUGUGUGUGACUGUUUCUUUGUAGACGCGAUCCAGCACCGCCAUCUCCACCGUCUUUAUGAAGCACCACUAGGCACUCCUUAAUUUUUUUCACUACUUCUGCUAUUCAUCGUUUUCGAAACCCACCAUUUUCUUCCUUUGAUGGGUUCCGAUUUUGAUGGUUCCUUCCCGAUAUUGAAGCGAUGAUGUGUUUUAUUUUUUAAAAGAUUUUGCGUUAUCGAGUAUCGGGUGAAACUGAGGGUAGUAUUUUGGCAGGGCAACUCAGGAGGCAUUCUAGUCGGAUAUUGCAACCGGUGUUUGCAGCCAUCCCGGUGUCACCGGUUCAAUGCUUCCUUCAUAUUUAGAUGUGCUCCAUAAAGUAAUUUUUUCUGAUUUUCUAGGGUUUUUGUGUGGCUUACCUGUUAAGAUUGACACCACCACCCAACGAACCGAUGAAGCAGGAGGUGGCGAAAACCGACGGUGGAAACCGGUUGUUGAUUGCAGCCUUCUUCUAAUUUACAGAUGAAUCGGAAGUAGGAUCGAUGAAGAUUUGUUGAUGUAUAAAAAAAAGGCGAUUUUAGUAGCAUCGGAGGGAAUUGAAAGGAUUCAAAUCGGUAUCAUAUGUGAAUGUUGAUGUGAACAGUCAUAUUGAAUUAAAAAUACGUGCAAUCAAUUUGUCGGUUCCGGUGGAGGUAGUUAUCGGCCUUUUGCCUAAUCUUCUUCGUCUGGGAUCUAUCAGGGCUUUCGUGUACGAGGGUUUUCUUAUGUGAUCAAAUGAUUUCCCUUGUGAGUGGCACUUGAUAUCUUUUCUACAUUCUUAUGCAACUUUGAUGUGGACAUCAACGUAGGUCGGAUUGAAACUAAUAAAGCAAAAAAACAUGUACAGCUUGUUGCUAAUUAUUUGUUUUUUUUAGUGAGUUGUUAUAUGAAAGGCUAUAGAUGUUUGGAAUUGUUAUUACUCAUUACAAGAAGAGAUGAGGGAGUGAUUGAACUGAAUUUGCGUUUUUGGGGGUUGUUACGUGACAACCAAAACUGAGCUGAAGAAGUCUACAACAAAUUUAGGUGCUUACUCUAAUAGUUCCAUUGUAAUUUUACUAAAAUAUUUACUUAUUUUGUUGUUUCGUCUUGAAUUUUGUUAGGAUCUGUUUACUUUGAUAGACUAGAAUGAAUGAAUGAUGGAAGAAUGGAAUGAUUCUUACUCGUUACAUUCCAUGAUAUAUGGUUUGCAAGAUUUUUUUUUGGAAUUUCAUAUCAACAACCUUUUAUGUUUUCGGUUAUUGUUUGUUGGUUUAGA